UAUACAUGCAGUCGAGCGAUGAUGAGGAGCUUGCUCCUCUGAUUUAGCGGCGGACGGGUGAGUAACACGUGGGUAAUCUGCCUGUAAGACGGGGAUAACUCCGGGAAACCGGGGCUAAUACCGGAUAACAAGAGAAGAAGCAUUUCUUCUUUUUGAAAGUCGGUUUCGGCUGACACUUACAGAUGAGCCCGCGGCGCAUUAGCUAGUUGGUGAGGUAACGGCUCACCAAGGCGACGAUGCGUAGCCGACCUGAGAGGGUGAUCGGCCACACUGGGACUGAGACACGGCCCAGACUCCUACGGGAGGCAGCAGUAGGGAAUCUUCGGCAAUGGGCGAAAGCCUGACCGAGCAACGCCGCGUGAGCGAUGAAGGCCUUCGGGUCGUAAAGCUCUGUUGUUAGAGAAGAACAAGUACGAGAGUAACUGCUCGUACCUUGACGGUACCUAACCAGAAAGCCACGGCUAACUACGUGCCAGCAGCCGCGGUAAUACGUAGGUGGCAAGCGUUAUCCGGAAUUAUUGGGCGUAAAGCGCGCGCAGGCGGUCUCUUAAGUCUGAUGUGAAAGCCCACGGCUCAACCCGUGGAGGGUCAUUGGAAACUGGGAGACUUGAGUGCAGGAGAGAAAAGUG
rnacentral:rRNA from 1 species